CGGGGGUGCGAGGGCUGUCGCUGACCUUUCAAAAGGUCGUGCACGCCCGAGCGCUCCCACAUGUCCAUCUCACACACCUUUGUGCAUCACCGCGUGGGUCCCCUUUGCAGGAGGGCUCACGUUUUCACACAAAACUUUGAUACAGUGUAGAAUGUCAUUUUUGCGGUCGCACGCAAUUAAUACAACUUUCAACAACGGAUCUCUUGGCUCUCGCAUCGAUGAAGAACGCAGCGAAAUGCGAUACGUAAUGUGAAUUGCAGAAUUCAGUGAAUCAUCGAAUCUUUGAACGCACCUUGCGCCCCUUGGCAUUCCGAGGGGCACACCCGUUUGAGUGUCGUGAAAUCAUCAAAAACCUUUUUCUGUUUAUCAGAAAGGGGUUUUUGGACUUGGAGGUCUAAUGCUCGCCUUUCACUUUUGAAAGUGAGCUCCUCUCAAAUGAAUUAGUGGGGUCCGCUUUGCUGGUCCUUGACGUGAUAAGAUGUUUCUACGUUUUGGAUUUGGCACUGUCACUUUGGAUUCCUGCUUCUAACCGUCCUACGGACAAACGGUGGUGCUCCGGUCGCCGUCCGUCUACAUUGGCGGAGGGGGAGGGCUGGACCCACGAAAGAAAACCUUGA
rnacentral:rRNA from 1 species